rnacentral:rRNA from 1 species
GCAGUAGCCGCGGGAAUACGUAUGUCCCGAGCGUUAUCCGGAUUUAUUGGGCGUAAAGCGAGCGCAGACGGUUUAUUAAGUCUGAUGUGAAAGCCCGGAGCUCAACUCCGGAAUGGCAUUGGAAACUGGUUAACUUGAGUGCAGUAGAGGUAAGUGGAACUCCAUGUGUAGCGGUGGAAUGCGUAGAUAUAUGGAAGAACACCAGUGGCGAAGGCGGCUUACUGGACUGCAACUGACGUUGAGGCUCGAAAGUGUGGGUAGCAAACAGGAUUAGAUACCCCAGUAGUCCCUGUCUCUUAUAC